GCAGCUGGGAGGGCAAGCCCUACUGUGCACCCCUGUAGAUCUACACCUGAUAGGACGCUGUUCAUCUUAAUGCCUUUUAAACAUACUGUAUUGACAUGAAAGAAUAGAGCUGAGUAGCUCAAACACUGAAGUGGGCUGGACAGCCUGACUGAUAUCUGACUGCUGUCCACACACAGUGUAAAGGAGGACCACUGUCACACACAGCAGGUUAAAGUGUCCUCCAUGCACGACAUGAGGAGGAUGUGGAUGAGCUUUCACCAGCUGUGGGUCAGGUGGUAGAGCAGGUCGUCCACUAAUCGGAAGAUCGGCGGUUCGAUUCCCUGCUCCUCCAUUCUGUGGUACCACCAACUAUGGCCUGCACAAGCACUCUGCAAACAUGGCAUCGGCCAAGGACACAGGGGAUCUGUUCAGAGCCUAUUCAGGACUUGGUGGUGAAGAAACCAAAGUUAUCUGCCAGGAGCGAUCCUUCCCUGACCCAUCAGUGUUGUCCCUUGGGGAAUGAUUAAAAAACCUCAGACCCCAACUGCCAAUGUCCUCAGUACUGCAUGGCUUACCUGAGCUUUGACACCAAGUUAAUUAUAUUUACAGUAAUUAUUUUCAUCCUCUCAUUCAACCCACAACCCAAUGUCCCAGUCCGAUUUGAUUUCUGAUUUAAUUUGAUUUGAUUUGAUUUGAUUCACUUAGGGAUAUUUCAGUUACAAUACCAAUUUUGCUUGGAUAUGAAAGAGAUUCUCAGAGAGGUAAUGCUGUAAAUUGUAUAAGGAACCCUCCAACCUGGUGCAUUAUUAAAAAUAUUAAUGUUUACAUUAAGAAUUGGCCCCAAAGUGGUUACAUUAAUGUACUUUUUGAUUUAAUGAAUGCAUGGUGUAUUUCAAACAGCUAAAGCACGUUAGCCGUGUUGUGGUGUCCACAUGGUGGCUGUCAGCAGCUUAAACUGCUGGAACGAACAGGCUGACAGCAGUGUGAGCAGCAUGCUGUAAAUUAUUGUUAAAUAAAGAUAAAUUAGUUGAUCUUACCAAGGCUGGCCAUGCAAGACUAACAAGUUUAGAGCUUCACGCAUCCAUGGGAAAAGGCAUAUAUUAAAAGAUUGAUCCCAGGAGUAAAAUGUCCUAUACUAUUAUAAAGAAAG